rnacentral:SRP_RNA from 1 species
CGGGCUAGAUGGGGAGUUAGCGGUGCCCUGUAACCUGCAACCCGCUAUAGCAGGAUUGAACGCUUGCCUCGGCAAUGCUAGGUCAAAAAUGUGCAGGCUUAUUUUGGCGAUGAAAUCAAGGUCUUAUGCAACGGUUGCUCCUGAACCAUGUCAGGCCCUGACGGGAGCAUCAUUAAGGGAAUACAACUGUGUGCCAUAAGGAAGCUUUGGUGGAGCGAAA